AUGUACUGGAGGAGAGGCAACCAAACGGGCAAGUGGUGGCGAAGAUGGGGACAUGAAAAGGACAUGAAAGGACAGCGUGUCUUGCAUUAGUUGGCUAUAAAAAGAAAGAUUAUAGUGCAACCAGAAGAAGCAAAGACAGAAUUACCCCAAUGAGUCACAGAACAGAUUCCAAUCGGAGGCUCAGUCUGGGCCUGGCCUUGCUGAAAGGGCCGAGCUCAUUCCAUUUCCAGCGAUGGGAGUGAUUGGGGAGAAGUGAGCCUGAAGAUUGCUGAAGUAAUUAACAUUCGCGGCUGGUUGGCAGAUCCAAUCGUCUUGUCUCGGAUGCAGGAGGAGCCGUCAAUUGGAGGCCGUUGUCUCAAGGUGACUCGGAGCAUCUGGAGCCGUUCGCCACAAUAUACGAAGCAAUUUAGUCGCAGACAGGAGCUGUGAAGAGACCGGACUCCUGCCCUCUGGUGACUCCAAACAUUGUGGCUGGCGACCCUGUCAAGGUUGCAGCUCACAGUUCAUCUGCAUACGUGGAAAGUCCUAGCAGGCAACACAAUUCAGUUCUUGAAAUUAAUCUUGUCUG